rnacentral:rRNA from 1 species
GAGUAAGAGCGCAUGACGGAUGUCUUGGCGUCGAGAGGCGAUGAAGGACGCAGGAACCUGCGAUAAGCCACGGGGAGCCGGUAACCAGGCCUCGAUCCGUGGGUUUCCGAAUGGGGCAACCCACCCGCAAGGGUACUUCACUCUGAAUGCAUAGGGGUGAAGAGCGAACGUGCUGAAGUGAAACAUCUCAGUAGGCACAGGAAAAGAAAGCAACCGCGAUUCCGUGAGUAGCGGCGAGCGAAAGCGGAUCAGCCAGUGGACGAGUGAAGCGUUUGAAUGACGCGCCGAAGAAGGUGAAAGCCCUGUAACCGAAAGCUGGUGAGCACAUCGAGUAGAUUCGGGCUCGGGAAACCCGGAUUGAACAUGGGGGGUCCACCCUCCAAUGCUAAAUACUCCUCGACGACCGAUAGCGAAUCAGUAAGGCGACUGAACGAUGAAAAGCACCGCGAUGAGCGGAGUGAAAGAGCACCUGAAAUCAUGCGCUUACAAGCGGUCGGAGUCCUUCGGGAUGACGGCGUGCUUUUUGCAUAAUGAGCCGGCGAGUUGGUCUGUACGGCGAGCCUAAGGUCUACCGGACCGGAGGCGGAGCGAAAGCGAGUCUGAGAAGGGCGUGCAGUCGUACGGGCCAGACGCGAAACCUUGUGAUCUACCGUUGGACAGACUGAAGGGCGGGUAACACCGCCUGGAGGGUCGAACGGGUGACCGUUGAAAAGGUCUCCGAUGAUCUGACGGGAGGGUUCAAAGUACAAUCAAACUGGGAGAUAGCUCGUUCUUUCCGAAAUAACUCUAGGGUUAGCCUCAGGCGGCAAGUGUUGGGGGUAGAGCUACUGGAUGAAGCAAAGGGUCUACCCGACUACUUUCUUCAACCAAACUCCGAAUACCAAUACCCAAGGCCUGGGAGAUAGACGGUGAGUGACAAUAUCCAUCGUCAAAAGGAGAACAAUCCUGAUCGCCAGCUAAGGUCCCUCAUCUCUGCUCAGUUCGAAAGGAAGUUGGGUUGCUGUGACAUCCAGGAUGUUGGCUUAGAAGCAGCCAUCAUUUAAAGAGUGCGUAACAGCUCACUGGACGAGGAACUCAGCGCCGAUAAUGAUCGGGAAUAAGCAGAGAGCCGAAGCUGCGGGCGUCGUAAGACGCGGUAGGAAAGCGUUCCAGGCGCGGCGAAGCCGUCCCGUAAGGGUUGGUGGAGCGCCCGGAAGUGAAUAUGCCGGCUUGAGUAACGAUUAACAAGGUGAGAAUCCUUGUCGCCAUAUACCCAAGGUUUCCUGGGGAAGGUCAUUCCGCCCAGGGUGAGCCGGGACCUAAGACGAGGCCGAAAGGCGUAGUCGAUGGACAGCAGGUUAAAAUUCCUGCGCCAGCAUCGGGAACGGAUCGUUGAGCUCCGCGGGACUGUCAGAUGUCCAGGCCCUUGUGGCCGAAGCGGGGGGAGACGGUUCCUAGAAAAGCCGGUGCAUAGCCCGUACCAAAACUGACACAGGUGGGUGAGGCGAAUAGCCUCAGGCGCGCGAGAGAACGGUCGUGAAGGAACUAGGCAAGUUAACCCCGUAAGUUAGCGAGAAGGGGGGCCUCCCCGCGCAAGCGGAAGGCCGCAGAGAAAAGGGUCUGGGAACUGUUUAUCAAAAACACAGCUCUGUGCCAAGACGCAAGUCGACGUAUACAGAGUGACGCUUGCCCGAUGCCGGAAUGUCAAGGAAGCGGGUCAUCGAAAGAGAAGCUCGUGACCGAAGCACCGGUGAAUGGCGGCCGUAACUAUGACGGUCCUAAGGUAGCGAAGUUCCUUGUCGGGUAAGUUCCGACGCGCAUGAAUAGCGUAAUCACUGGACUCCUGUCUCCACGACCGACUCGGUGAAAUAGUAGUGGCGGUGAAGAUGCCGCCUCCCCGCAGCAAGACGGAAAGACCCCGUGGACCUUCACUGCAGUCUUGUAUUGGCCACGAGCAUUCACUGCGUAGCAUAGGUGGGAGCCUUCGACGCCCGGAUUCCGGUCCGGGAAGAGGCACAGGUGAAAUACCACCCUGUGUACGUUUGUGGCCUAACCCUGAGUCCCGUGAAUCCGGGCAGGGAACAGUGCAUGACGGGCAGUUUGACUGGGGCGGUCUCCUCCAAAAAUGUAACGGAGGAGUGCAAAGGUCGGCUCAGCACGGAUGGAAACCGUGUGUCGAGUGCAAGAGCACAAGCCGGCUUUACUGCGAGACCGACGGGUCGAGCAGUCUCGAAAGAGGGCUCUAGUGAUCCUGCGAUCCCGUGUGGAAGGGUCGUAGCUCAUCGGAUAAAAGGUACCCCGGGGAUAACAGGCUGAUCGCGCCCGAGCGUCCAUAGCGGCGGCGCGGUUUGGCACCUCGAUGUCGGCCCAUCACAUCCUGGGACUGAAGGCGGCCCCAAGGGUUCGGCUGUUCGCCGAUUAAAGUGGUACGCGAGCUGGGUUCAGACCGGCGUGAGCCAGGUCGGUCCCUAUCUGCUGUGGGCGUUCCAAGCUUGAGAGGAGUCAACCUUAGUACGAGAGGAUUGGGUUGGACGGACCCCUGGUGAUCCAGUUGCACUGCUAAGUGCACCGCUGGGUAGCUACGUCUGGCAGGGAUAACCGCUGAAAGCAUCUAAGCGGGAAGCCCCCCUCAAGAUAAGGCUUGGUUGUCGCAAGACGAAAGACCCCUGGUAGACCACCAGGUUGAUAGGCCGCGCGUGUACAAGCAGAAAUGCUUUGAGCGGAGCGGUCCUAACGGUCG